AAAUUUGAAAUCUGGCGCAAGCCCGAGUUGUAAUUUGUAGAGGAUGCUUCUGGCCAGCGGCCGUUCUAAGUUCCUUGGAACAGGACGUCAUAGAGGGUGAGAAUCCCGUAUGUGACCGGCGCGCAGCCUUUACGUAGCUCCUUCGACGAGUCGAGUUGUUUGGGAAUGCAGCUCUAAAUGGGAGGUAAAUUUCUUCUAAAGCUAAAUACCGGCCAGAGACCGAUAGCGCACAAGUAGAGUGAUCGAAAGAUGAAAAGCACUUUGGAAAGAGAGUUAAAAAGCACGUGAAAUUGUUGAAAGGGAAGCGCUUGCAACCAGACUUCGUAGCGAUGUUCCGCCGGUCUUCUGACCGGUCUACUCAUCGUCGCGAGGCCAACAUCGUCUGGGACCGCUGGAUAAGACCUAAGGAAUGUAGCUUCCCUCGGGAAGUGUUAUAGCCUGUGGUGAUGCAGCGCGUCUCGGGCGAGGUCCGCGCUUCGGCAAGGAUGUUGGCGUAAUGGUUGUCAGCGGCCCGUCUUGAAACACGGACCAAGGAGUCUAACAUCUAUGCGAGUGUUCGGGUGUCAAACCCCUACGCGUAAUGAAAGUGAACGGAGGUGGGAAGCGCAAGCUGCACCAUCGACCGAUCCUGAUGUCCUCGGAUGGAUUUGAGUAAGAGCAUAGCUGUUGGGACCCGAAAGAUGGUGAACUAUGCCUGAAUAGGGUGAAGCCAGAGGAAACUCUGG
rnacentral:rRNA from 3 species